GGUGAGUAACGCGUAUCCAACCUGCCCAUCACUUGGGGAUAACCUUGCGAAAGUAAGACUAAUACCCAAUGACGUCUCUAGAAGACAUCUGAAAGAGAUUAAGGAUUUAUCGGUGAUGGAUGGGGAUGCGUCUGAUUAGCUUGUUGGCGGGGUAACGGCCCACCAAGGCGACGAUCAGUAGGGGUUCUGAGAGGAAGGUCCCCCACAUUGGAACUGAGACACGGUCCAAACUCCUACGGGAGGCAGCAGUGAGGAAUAUUGGUCAAUGGGCGAGAGCCUGAACCAGCCAAGUAGCGUGCAGGAUGACGGCCCUAUGGGUUGUAAACUGCUUUUAUAAGGGAAUAAAGUGAGUCUCGUGAGACUUUUUGCAUGUACCUUAUGAAUAAGGACCGGCUAAUUCCGUGCCAGCAGCCGCGGUAAUACGGAAGGUCCGGGCGUUAUCCGGAUUUAUUGGGUUUAAAGGGAGCGUAGGCCGGAGAUUAAGCGUGUUGUGAAAUGUAGACGCUCAACGUCUGCACUGCAGCGCGAACUGGUUUCCUUGAGUACGCACAAAGUGGGCGGAAUUCGUGGUGUAGCGGUGAAAUGCUUAGAUAUCACGAAGAACUCCGAUUGCGAAGGCAGCUCACUGGAGCGCAACUGACGCUGAAGCUCGAAAGUGCGGGUAUCGAACAGGAUUAGAUACCCUGGUAGUCCGCACGGUAAACGAUGGAUGCCCGCUGUUGGUCUGAAUAGGUCAGCGGCCAAGCGAAAGCAUUAAGCAUCCCACCUGGGGAGUACGCCGGCAACGGUGAAACUCAAAGG
rnacentral:rRNA from 1 species